GGAAGGCAGCAUGCCCUCCCUCAGGGCGCCUCUCCUGCCCCCGCCGGCGCAGGAGAGGCGGGAGGUGUCGGUGGGCCCACCGGCAUCCCACGCAGCUGGAUAAUUUAUGGGCAGCGGCAGCAGCUCACCGUCACUUUGUUUGCAAUUUGCCUCUAAAUAUAGCCGUGCUUUAAGGGGGGAAGGCGAGCUCCUGCCGCCGUCCGCCCGCGUCUCCUCAUCGCCACUGAGGAGGCCCUGCAGAUGGGUCACCGGCGUGGCACCUUCUCCAUCCCACAUCCCACAUCCCUGCCUCGCAGGAGAAGGGCAGCGAUGAGACACAAACCUCUGGGGCUGGUGGUUAAACACUGGCGACAGCCUCCUGCCCGGCUGAGACUGGCAGCUUGCCUGGGUGCACUGAGCCCCACCACUUCCCACAGAAUGAGCUCCCAGGGGAGGGUUUCUCUCCGUGCUUUCUUUGCCUUUCAGCAAAAAGUGCGGUAAUUGCAUUAGUCCUGACAGAGGGAUGGCACCAAGACUGGAGUAAAAGAUUGCCUGCGGAUAUCACCUCGGCUAAUUCCCGUGCUAAACCCAAAUCUGCUCUUGUUUAUCUGCAGACAAGGGGACAGGCUGUGGUGACAGCACCCCAGUGGUGACACCUCCCAGCCUGCGACUGGGGCCAGGAGCUGUGUGACCCUUCCUGGAGCAGCUGCCAGAGACUGUACCAGUGCAAGAUCACCAGGCCAGCAGACUCACAGAAAAUAUCUUAAGGGCUGCCUUAUCUUUUGGAGAGAGGUUCCUCUGGCCACCUGGAGAGCAUCUCUGGCAUUUGACUAGCUGGGAAAUGUUUUCCUUCUCCUGACCAAGAGAUCUUGGGAAGUGUGGCGGGUGAGGAUGGGGAAUCUGCAGAAAGGCCUGUGUGAAAGUGCCCAUGAGAAUAAUGUGACAACUGUGCUGGAGAUCCACUAGGGCCAAAGAAGACCCUCUACUGCACUCCUGAGGUUUCUUUCGGAAGCUGGAUUUUUAUUUCCAAAAUGUUACAAGCACACAGAGUGGGGUGGCUUUGCCCAGCAGCUCAGGCCAAUCCAGGUUGACAAUGGCAAUCUGGUUUGGUUUUGAGCCUGGCUUUGAUUUGGAUCACUGGAAACCAUAAGAGUGCCAAGAAUAUAUUGAUGUUGCUGACUGCCUCAGAUGACAGCAAAUCUCAUACAUCCUGCUGACUGCCUCAGAUGACAGCAAAUCUCAUACAUCCUGACCAGGGAAGUGCCUCCCUUCCAGCAGCUGCAGGCUUUAACAAAGAGAGAGAGUCCAGCAUUUCCAUUUGAGCCCUACUUAAAGCUGCAGAUGUAUCAGCACAGGGGCUCAGUGUGGUGUACAAAUAUGACAGCUAAGCAAAGCCACAGGCUAAUGGUCCAAGAUCUCCAUAUGAGGGCAAACAUUCCCAGGUAAGGACUGAGUGUGUCUGAGGAAUGGAGAGCAACCUCCCAGGCUUGAAAGAAGAAAGCAGAAAUGUCAGACAAUUCCCAUCACAUGGCUGUGUGUUAGCUCAGGAAGAACACUGCCCAGGUAACCAUGCAGACUUUCCCCUGGCAUCGUGGUGAGCACAUCCCAGAGAGGCGGUGUGUGAAAUAAGAGAACAAACUUUCUCCUUCCCAGGCAAAAUGCACUCACUUCAGGUACAAGGCUUCAGAGCUGAGCUAGCUGGUUGCCAAGGCAGUCUGGAGCAGCACCAAUGUGGGUGGUGUCUAGGGAGUAAGGGACUGAGUUUGGUGGGAGAGGGACUGAGGGAUAAAAGAAAGGACUUAAUUUUUAGGGAUGGGAGUAAAUAUGGCAGGAUGUUGACAGCAGGCUUCGGCUCUUGCCUCAGCAAACCAAGCAAAGAAAGGUAACCACAGCAAGCACACACUAAAGGAAUUGUUACUAUUACUCCCAUUCCGGGGCAAUAAUAAAGCACAUACCUGCAGGUUGGUCUGAAACCACCUCCCCUGCUCACCCUCACUUCUUCUGGAAGCCAAUUAAGUCCUUCCCGAAGAGAUGCUACAUGAAACAGAGGUUUUCUGAGAUUGGUAAUGGCUGUCACCCCAGCAAUAAUCAUAAUGAAUCACACUUGGGCUCCUGUUGAGCUCAUAUUUUCAAAGAGAUGCUGGUUCUCGAUCCAUUCAUUAAUAUUAAUUAGCAUGAAGUCACGUUUCAUUUCCCACUUGUGUGCCCAACCUGCAGCAUCCUUGUGUGUCCUGUGCUAACGAACCAGAUGCCAUUUACGGCUGGCACAAAAAUAAUUAGCUAAUAGUUGAAGAAUACGUAUCUCAAGUUAUUUAAAUAUUUAUGCCAGACUUUUUACAUUUUGGCUCCCAGCCCUCAUCUGGGGGUUGCAAUGCAAUUUAGGGAGAAUAUGAGAAAGUUUUCACAGUUGUCUGCAGAAAGCUUUAAUUAUACAUUCUCCAUAUGGAUGCAAAUGUUUGAUGUUAUACAGAUGUUGGCACCAAGCUGACCUCCAGGUACCAGAGUAGAAAUAGCAAACUUCAGCAAGCAGAUCAAAAUCAGACUCCCUUGUUGGGACUGGAUGCUGCAUAAUGCAACAGUCACUCUUUCACCUUCUGAUCCACCCUCUUUUGCUCAGAGACCUCUUCUGACAAACACUUCCAGCCAAACCUUGCUCCUGGGGGCCUCUGGAGGAGGCUGGGAUCACAGAGAUGUUAUCAGUGAGAGCAAGGACAUCCAGAACUCAGAGGAGCUGGGAUUCCUGGUGUUUUGAGAAACUGAGGAGCAUAUCCCCCCUUCUGACUCACAGUGUCAUGCAGGGAUGUUUGUGUGUGUAAUUCCUGCUGUGCCUCCCACUGAGGGAGCAGAGAAGGAGGCUGGCAGACAGGGAUGACACAGGGUUGUUAGCUGGAUUUCUCCUUGAGGAUAUGCAUAGAACAUCUACUCUGUUUACUACUUAAUAUGUGAAUGACGUUGAUGUAUGAGGUCCCACUGAAGGCUGAUUUUUGCUUAACUCACCUACCUCUCCUGUGUUCUGACCUUCCAAUCUUAGCAGUGUAGAGAUAAUUUGCUUUUGUAUAGUCAGAAGCUCAGAAACCCCGAAUUAUCUGUAAUGUCUUGAGCACAUAAUUAUAUUGAGCUUAUCGCUGUGAUUCCUCGGCACUUUCACCUUACUGUGCCCUCAGAGAGGCACGGGCCCUGAACCAGCUCUGGUGGAGAUCCAGUUCUGCUGAAGCUUUCAUUUUUUGGAGCAGGUUUGGGCAGGGAAAUGGUGGGAGGUGGGAAGGGAAAAUUUGUUAAUGCAUAUGUUAGAUGUGAUACCAGGAGAAAAAGCUCUUGUGAUCAGUUCUCACAUGAGUAUCACGCCCUCUGAUCAGGUAAGACGAGAUGGCUGCUGUGUGAGCUGCAUCUGGGUCCUGGGAAGGAGCAGUGACCCACACCUUUCCUGUUGCACCUGCAACCCUGCUGCUCCUGCCUCUGAGACUGCCCAUUUUCACAACGCCUUGCUGGGAAGGAUGCUUGUGCUGCAGCACCCACCAGGGCACCAAGGCAAUGCACAGGAGAGGCUCCUCAGGGAGGCCUUGAGAGCUGGUCUCUGGUUGAGGAGGUAAUCAGAGACACCUGGGAAUGCUGUAAGGCAGCUGCUUCUUUUUUUCAUUGCUCUAUAAACUUCUGUAAGGUGCAAUAUAGGCAUUAGCCACACUGCCCACGGCAUGAGAGGCCAUGUUCUCAUUUUCAGAGGCUGACUGGAGGUCUGUGCCUGUUUCUGCUAUCAGUGAUCUGCACUCCAGGGCAGAAUAGCUGAUCUGCACCCCCAGGAUGCUAAGGAAGAGCUAGGAGGAGGAUUUCAGUUGGGUAUGUGCUUUCCCUCCUCUUCAGGGGAGUGCCUCCUCUGCUCUUGGUUGAGUUUGAAAGAAGAAAGCAUGGAGGGCCAAAAAAAGGGAGUUGGCCAAGCAGUUCUGUAGGAGAAGUUCCUAAGGAAAGGAAAAAUCCUCUCUCAUUCUGGUGAGAAUAACACACGGUGCUCUAGUUACUGGGGGCACGGGUGAAGGGAGCUAGUGAGGAUGCCAGAAAAAGAGUGCAGCAGGCGUCAUUGCAUGGUGGUGAUCUACUUUUAAGUGAUACCAGAAAAACCUAUUAAAUAUAUAACCUCAGCGCCCAGAAAAAUGUGUUAAGAGGUUUAUUUGUGUAGGAAAAGCUUCAUCUUAUAAAUAUAGAUAAGGGCUUCUUUUUUUUCCCUCUUCUUCUUUUGGAUUUCCUAUACAGAAAACAUAUUUGGACUGUAAUUUCCCUUCUGGGAAGCUCUACCUAGUUAUGCUGCUUUCUGUCUGGCAGGACUGUAAGGUCCAUGCAAAUGGGAGAGCUCAGUGUGGAGAGUUCUUCCUAACAUGUAUCCCACUGCAUCCCAUUCCAAGCCCCAUCCUACAGAGCUGUAUGCAUGUGCUGCUCUGCAAGAGGGCUGGUAGUUUCACCAAGCAGAUGUAGGACUGCUGUGUGCUGAGGGUGACGGAUGGCUGCUGUUCUUUUCAGGAUGUAUCUGCUGCAGGGCUGCCCCUGACUCCCCUGAAAGAGAGGGAAAGAUCCAUAAAAUAUGAAGAGACAGAUCCCACUCUUAGUUUCUCCUUCUCUCUCUCAGCAUAGGCCCUGCAGAGGACAUCAGGUGGAAAUACUGGUGUGAAGAUUAAGUAAACCUGCUAUCCUCCAGGUUGCCACUUCCUUCCUCAAGAGUUCUCUUUCCUCUUUGAGAGGAAACAGGACCUCUCUGAGGUGCCCAGCCUCAUCUACCAACAAAAGUCCAGCCACUGUCUUUAUGCUGAACACAAAUCAACCUGUGUCUCACCUUUAAAUCCAUGUCCUCCAGUCCAAACCAAAAUUUAAUUCUGUUUCUGUGUUGUUUCUUUAUGGAGGGGUUCCCAAAAGCUCAAGCUCAGCAAUGCUAUUGUUCUUGUCCACAAUCCCCACUGCUUGUGGGGGAUUGUGGUCUCCCCACAUGGCCUGCACUCAGGGCUACCAGGCAACUGGUCCUUCCACCCUGGCUGCCUUGCUGUCUUCCCCAUCCCUACAACCUUGUCCUGUCUUGCUGAUGUGCAGUCUUGUCUCAUCCAGACACCUGACAUCUCACAAUGGCCCAUGCCCUCUCCUCUGUCCUUAAUAGGAGAGUUCUGAAAACCCCCUCAAAAUGAUGCUGGUCUGGGUCAUUCUCCUCAUGCUUGAUUUUUUUGGCUUCCUCUCAUUUUCCUUGACUUCCCAUGCCUUCCCAGCUCUUCAGAUGUUCCUGGGUUUCCCUGUUCUAAGUCACCUGGGAGGCAUGGAGGGCUGUGCCAGCCUUCCCUCUGCAGUUGUCCAGACAAGCAUUGUUGGGCUGUACCUGUAUAACCCCUUGCCAGGGAGGAGCCUUCUGAGGACAUCCACAAUCAUCUGCUGUCAUCCCUUUUCACAUCUCCUCUAAGUUCCUGAAAUGUGUGUCUACAAACAAGUAAACUAAAUAACUGCCAGUGUAGACACUCUUGGGGCUUAAUCACGAUGACUAACAUUGCCUUAUGGCUCCUUCAUGCUCUUCUAUCCACAACCAUCUGCUGUUGCUUUGCUUACCAAUCCAUAACUCUGAAUCAGGGCAUUUCCUCUUCCCUUUUCCACCCCACCCCAAUCUGCCUCUUUCUCCUAGGGCCUAUGACAGCUUCCAAAAUCACCCCAUUAUCACAGGCAGGGCAGCUCACGUCCUGUUGGUACAAGGAAGCUUCCUUUUAUGAACAUUAAGGACCAUCCCUCCAUGUGAGUUGUGAAACAACGAGAUGACACCAUGCUUGCAUUAUAAUGCCAUUGUAUUUGGCAUUAUAUUGGCCGAGGUGAAAGUGGAACUGGCUUAUAACCUGAUUGCAAAACUCUUGCCUUGCUCCUUCUCAGGCGCUGUCACUGGUCUGUGGCACACUUCCAAAAAUCCCAUUUCUGGUGGAGUGCUUUGGAUAUUUUUUCUGGUUAGUUCUCUGGUGGGUUGGGAGGGUUUUGUGUAGGGUUUAUUUUGUUU